UUCAGUUGAAUUAGUUCAGAAAAUUAGGGUUGUCACACUCUGAGCCUUGUACAUUUCGAUUCUUUCCACUCUGGAUUUCAAACUCAAGACGAAAGAUAGUUCCCAUGUAGGCAGGCUGGAGGACAAAUAGAACGGAAAGCAAAUCGUAACAGUCUAAGUGAUAAGUGCCGAGGGAUUGGUACCAUUACCUCAGUUGCAGUCAUCGCCUGAUGCCCUUCUUUGACAAUAUAUGCAGUGCGAAUGAGAAUGAUAUUCUGGAACCUCAGUAGUAUGGGAUUGGUGAGAGUCAUUACUGGUAAUGAAUCAUGGUUCUACGAAGCAACUCUUGGGUCCGUUUAGAUGAGACGUUUUGAACUAUUCCCCGUAUUCCCCUGAAGCAUGCAUAUGGACGUAAAAAGAGACGAGGAAGUGGAGAGGGUAGACGGAAAAGUGGGCAAAGGAGCUAUAAAGAAAUCUUCCGAGGCAGGCAUCAAAAAUUUAAUCCCGUCACAUCGAAAGAUUGCGGCGACUAUUUUCGAAAAUAACUUACAUAUGUACAAAUAUAAUCAUGUUAUUUUUCCUAUUUUUUUUCUUUUUUUGAGUUUACUGCCUCUUACAGUAGCAAAUUGGGAAAGGGUAAUAAGCAUAUACGUCUUAGUAAGUAGCCUUUGUUUUUCA